GGCCUAUCCCGAUUCCCAAGACACAGAAAAUAAGCACUGGUGCACAUCCAGUACAAGAAAAUGAUGCUAGACUAUCCUACCAAAACCAACCUGUAAACAGGAAAAGAAAAGUUGCUUUGAAUGCAGAAAUAGAUCAAGAUUCUUGUGAGGAAGACAAGGAUUAUGUCCCAACUGAUGAAGAAUCGUCGAGAGAACCAUCAAACACCACAUUUCCAUCAAAGAGAAAAAGAUGGACAGUGGAUGAGGAGAAUGUCCUUAGAUUUGAAUUUAAUAAGAACUUCAAAGAUAAAAUCAUACCAAGUAAUACAGAAGCACUGAAAGUAAAACACAAAUAUAAAUUUCUUGCUGAUAGAAAUAUUCAUCAGAUAAAGAGUAAAGUGCAACAUAUGCUGAGACGUAAAUGAGUUAACAAAGUUAGGACUUCUGUCAUGCAGUCAAACAUGAUGCUGUGUUAACAUCUUGAAACUAGAACAGUAACUCCUGAAUAAAAUACCUUGGACUCAUUUUUUGAUCACCUGAGUUGACUUAGAGGUAGAUAAACAAGAGAAUGACUCAUGUUUUAGAAUGAAGAUUGAAUGUUUGUAUGCAUUAUACCUGUAUACACUCACUGCUUCCUGUCUGCAUCAUAUGUCCCUGAAGUGUGACCUCAUGGUUGGGGUUUUUAGUCAUUUUAAAAUCAUAAUGUCAUCAUUAAGAUGUUAUAAUUUCUGAUACAAUACUUUAUUAUACCCCCCGCAACAAGUUGUGUGUGUGUGGGGGGGGGGGGGGGUAUACUGGA